rnacentral:rRNA from 1 species
GACGAACGCUGGCGGCGUGCUUAACACAUGCAAGUCGAACGGAAAGGCCCUGCUUUUGUGGGGUGCUCGAGUGGCGAACGGGUGAGUAACACGUGAGUAACCUGCCCUUUACUUUGGGAUAACUUCAGGAAACUGGGGCUAAUACCGGAUAGGAGCUCCUGCUGCAUGGUGGGGGUUGGAAAGUUUCGGCGGUUGGGGAUGGACUCGCGGCUUAUCAGCUUGUGGGUGGGGUAGUGGCUUACCAAGGCUUUGACGGGUAGCCGGCCUGAGAGGGUGACCGGCCACAUUGGGACUGAGAUACGGCCCAGACUCCUACGGGAGGCAGCAGUGGGGAAUAUUGCACAAUGGGCGGCAGCCUGAUGCAGCAACGCCGCGUGCGGGAUGACGGCCUUCGGGUUGUAAACCGCUUUCGCCUGUGACGAAGCGUGAGUGACGGUAAUGGGUAAAGAAGCACCGGCUAACUACGUG